rnacentral:lncRNA from 1 species
AUGUCUGUGCAUUUUGAGGUCCGCACAUCUAGGAGUGACAGAAGCCGAGAGGGAGCCCAUCGGCGGCUCCACAGCCCGGCCUCUUACCGCGACUCCGUUGCUUUGACACGUUGCUGGGAGCAGGAAAAGACUCUCCAGGCACUCACGAUGCAGAGGAGUCCACGAGCCAUACAUCUGAAUGAAAGGAGAAGAAAGUCGAGGCCGUUUGCCAGUGAUGCCUCAGUUGCAUGCUCACAUCCCACCAGGAAGCCUGCGUACAGCAGAGGACAGACACCUCCGGGGGAAAGAAACGCUGGGCCUCCUUCCGCAAUUGUAAGUAACCAAGCUACCAGGAGGAUAGGAUGGGAGGCGGGCCUAGGAAUACAGUUUAUUAGCUCACAGAGAGCACUGAAUGCUAGAUUAAGGAAUUCGGACUUUAUUCUGCAAAUCCCUUGCGGACAGGACACCCUGUCUGUCUUAUCUAGUAAUGCUUCCACUUUGUAGAUGCUUAAUGAAUGACUAUAUUCUUUAUUAAUUAAUGCUGUUAACUUAAACGACAGAAGAAUUGUUGCGAGGUGGACCAGUUGGGAAUCACCACCUGAUCCACCCCUGUCCGGGUUUUACAGGUGAAGUAACCUAAGUAUCUUUUGCUGGAAGUGGCAAUCAGCCUGUCCGCGAGGAAAGGCAAACCGAAAACUCCCAUCUCGAGGAUGAAGGCGGUAGGGGGUAUAGAAUUGGGGAACGGGGCCAAGAAAAGCAGUUGGAUGUGUGGCUCCUCAAGAUGGCUGCCCCGAACCCCAUGACCGGGAGGAAGCGGAGCUCCGCCCCAGCGCGCCGGGCCCCACCCCACUCGGCCCCGCCCAGCGCCACCCCCCUCCGGGGGGGGGGCGGUGCGGGUUGUGAGGUGUCUCAGCGAAGCGCCUGCGCAGUGGGCAGCGGCGCGCGGGGCGGAGGCUUUAUAAUCACUUCGACGCGGCCGCUCGGCUUCUACCUCGGGGAGGGCGGCCAGGGCGGCGGCGGUCGCCGCGCCGGUUGAGGGGGCGCUGGGCGCCCCUCGCUCCUGGGCCUCUGGGGGCCAUGGGCUCCGAGAAGGACUCCGAGUCGCCGCGCUCUACAUCUCUACACGCGGCCGCGCCCGACCCCAAGUGCCGCAGCGGCGGCCGGCGCCGGCGCCUCACCUUCCACAGUGUCUUCUCCGCCUCGGCCCGCGGCCGCCGCGCCCGGGCCAAGCCGCAGGCCGAGCCGCCGCCCCCGGCCGCGCCGCCGCCGCCCGCCCCGGUCCCGGCCGCGGCCCAGGCC